GUUCAGCGGCGUGUCGGCACGGGGAUAGUUUUACCGGAGCGCGUGUUUCCAGACUUCCAGAAGCGAUGCCAGGCUCCGGUGGAGCUGUACCAUAAAGCCCAGAAGGACCAUGCAGCAUUGAAGGGCAUGUAAAAGGCUGAUAUUCAUCGCAUGUCAGCUUCUGGUGGACCCAUUUUUACUGCAUCUGUGUGAAAGAACAAGUUGCCUUCCUCUGACGCAGCGUGACCCCUCCUGACUCAGGGAUAUCAUGGGCAACCUCCCGGUCCACCUCAUCCCCGCUCCUCUUCCUCCUCCCUCUCC